ACUAGUGUCCUAAAUACCCUAAAAGCACCAGAUCCUGUCAGAUCUUGGAAGCUAAGCAGAGUCUGUCCUGUUGAGUGCUUGGAUGGGAGACUGCCAAUGAAUUCCUGGUGCUGUAGACU
rnacentral:rRNA from 1 species